rnacentral:SRP_RNA from 2 species
CCUCGGUCCUCUCGCAACAACAAGUUGUGAACCCCGCCAGGCCCGGAAGGGAGCAACGGUAACGAUAAGUUCGUGUGCCGGGAUGUGGCUGAGGUGU